rnacentral:tRNA from 1 species
GGCCCCGUAGCUCAGGUGGAUAGAGCGGCGGUUUCCUAAACCGUAGGCCACGUGUUCGAGUCACGUCGGGGCCA